GCCGAAGUGGCGGAAUGGUAGACGCAGCGGACUCAAAAUCCGCCGGAUUUUAUCUGUAGGGGUUCAAGUCCCCUCUUCGGUA
rnacentral:tRNA from 1 species